AGAAUACUUCAUGGUAAGACUUAAAAAUGCAUAUUAUUCUAGUUAUACAAAAAAUAUAUUAUUUUUAAUUUCAGUUUCCCAAAACGGAAAAUCAUUGGAGAGCUAUAGCAACAGAUUUUGAAAACAAAUGGAAUUUUAUAAAUUGUUUAGGAGCGGUGGAUGGUAAACUUGUGGAAUAUCUCCACCUAAUAAUAGUGGCUCAUAUUUUUAUAACUAUAAGGGCAGUCACAGUCUCGUGCUUUUGGCAGUUGUAAAUGCAAACUAUCAGUUCAUUUAUUGUCAUUUUGGAACAAAUGGCAGAGUGUCUGAUGGUGGAGUUAUCGAAAACACUGCUUUUUAUGACAAGCUGAAACAUUGAACAUACCACCAGCAUGUCAGUCAAAAUCCGGUGGACCUCUGCUUCCAUAUGUAUUUGUCGGUGAUGAAGCCUUUGCCCUUCGAGAACAUUUUCUGAAGCCUUUCAGCCAAACACAGCUUAAUAGGGAAAGUAGAAUCUUUAAUUACCGUUUAUCAAGAGCGCGACGAAUUGUUGAGAAUGCCUUUGGAAUUUUAGCUGCCAGGUUUAGAAUAUUUCAUACAGCUAUUAAUAUGAAGCUGGAAAAUAUCGAGAAAGUAUCCCCCAAUUUGUUUUGAUUCUGAAGAUACAGAAAGAGGUGAAAUCGAGUUGGGCUUACGGCCCGAACCAAACACUUUGGUAAAUUUACAACGAAGCCACCGUAGGAAUGCUACAAAUAAUGCAAAAGACGUUAGGCAACAAUUUAUGCACUAUUUUUGUAAUGAGGGAAGUGUCCCCUGGCAAGACGCCUUUGUUUAAUGAUUAUAUUUAUUUUUAUUUGCUUUUGAUAAGCCAGUUAAAACUUCUUUAAUAUACGUUAUGACAGAGUUA